CUAAACUUCCAGUAGACUGGCAGCAUCUUUAUGUUUAUUUUUGGUGGAAUGACCUUUCCACGUGUAAAGGCUCUAGAUGCUUUCUGAUUAAGUUAUACUUCCACAUGAGAAACUUUCAGCUCAGAGAAAUUAGGUGAAAUUUUAAGAAAAAGGAUGUUCCCUUGAAACAUAAAUUUGUAAUGAAAUUUGCUUUUUCUUGGUUUUUUUUUGGUUUUUUUUUCGUUGCUGUCAAUUUUUACAACCAGAUUUUUAGAAGAGUUGAUGGACUUGAUGAACUAUGAAAAAACAGAAAUGACUCUUCCAGUUUUGACCUACAGAUCUGAGGUGAAGACCAGCCAGCAAACCAUCUCUGCAAGAUUUCACUGCCACAGCAGAGCUGUCAGACUUGGAAUUAAGAAUAAGAAUGAGAGUGCUGUGAUUGUUCUGAAGGAGCUGCAUGUGAGGGUGCUCAUCCUCUGCCUGUCCAGAGCUUGUGGGACAGUGAGUUUUAUUCAUGAGAUGACAACUGCUCUAUAUGAAAAGCAGUGCUCAGGAUAAUAAUCUUUAAAACAUGCCUUCCUAUUCUAAAUUUAAAGAUAUUUCAGAUAAAAAAAUAGGGACUAGAAGGUAAAAUGUAAAAAGUGCUACAGCAAAAUUUUUGUCUUCCAUGCAAAAAGCCUACAGAUAAUUACAGGAAAGUAACCCUUUGUGAUUGUGGUUACUACAGAACUACUAGGAAAUUAAUGGGCACGCUGUUUAUUAGUUUAACACAUGAAACAGUCACACGUGUGCAAUAAACCAUUUGGGGC